ACGUUUUUGCGAGUAAGAGCAAACAGGCAAACAAGACUCAAUGGUAUGUUGUCAAUGACUUUCAGUAUAUCAAAAUAUUCUCCCUGUUCUGUAUUUCUCUGUUUUUUCAUUCAGUCAUUUCCAAUGCAGGGUCAUAAGCGUGCAUUAAGAGCUUGGAUCUAUGAGGCGCCGCGUAGGAUUUAAAUCAAACUUCGCUUAUGANGAUCUGACCAAAUUCAUGAAUCUCCUAAUGAUUAAUACAAAAAUGAGUUUUAUUAUUUAAGACAUUCUUUGAUCUUUGAAACUGAUUUUUAGUCAUUAUUAUAAAUAAGGCAGCACUGGUAUACUUUCACUUAUAGUUUGAACAGUCACAGUUAAAACCCCACCCCUUACCUUUGACCUAGCACCCUCACGAGCAGAGCAGAUUAUUGACCUUUAACCUUUUUAUAUGUUAACAGUUAAGGAGCUCUGCUGGUGCAGGUGCUACGCCAAACAGAAAGUGAAAUCUGUUCAUGAUUGGCCUGACUGUGGAUUUCCACAUGUUUCCUCUUGCCCACUGUCUGCACGCAUUGGGAAACUGAAAAGACGGAAAGCAGAGGAAGACCAGAGAGACAGUGUGUGUGUUGUUGAUGAUGGCUCUGUGCUGUCAGCCGGGAGGGAUUUUGAAUGGGCUGAACAGAGAAGAAUACAGAUGGUUUCUGUUCUUAGAGGCUUCAGAGGUACAAAACAAAAACACUUCACAGUAAUUUAACUACACACCAAAUACUCAAAUACAUCCAUAUACAGUAAAUCAAUCCAUAUUUAUAAGUCAUCAGACUGGAGUCAGGUAUCAGAUUAGAACAACAAAUAUCUUGAGAAAUCAUAAUGUAUAAUCAGUUUUUGUGUCCCAAAACCUACAAAACUGUCUACAGAGAAGAAUGUAGUACCAUUAUGCAUUGGCACAAAUUCAGUGAAAAAAAAAAUGCAAUACUGAAAUGUAUCUAUAAACAAAC
rnacentral:lncRNA from 12 species